rnacentral:rRNA from 1 species
CCUACGGGGGGCAGCAGUAGGGAAUAUUGGACAAUGGGCGAAAGCCUGAUCCAGCCAUGCCGCGUGAUCGAUGAAGGCCCUCUGGGUUGUAAAUAUCUUUUAUCUGGGAAGAAACAAUCUUAUUCUUAAGAUCUUGACGGUACCAGAGGAAUAAGCACCGGCUAACUCCGUGCCAGCAGCCGCGGUAAUACGGAGGGUGCAAGCGUUAUCCGGAUUCACGGGGUUGAAAGGGUGCGGAGGCGGCCGUGGUGAAAGCGCCGAGCGUAACUUGGAGACUGCCAUUGAUACUGCCAGUCUUGAAUGUCGUAGAGGUAAGCGGAAUGUUGCAUGUAGCGGUGAAAUGCUUAGAUAUGUUACAGAACACCAAUUGCGAAGGCAGCUUACUAUGCGAUGAUUGACGCUGAGGCACGAAAGCGUGGGGAGCAAACAGGAUUAGAUACCCUAGUAGUC